rnacentral:rRNA from 1 species
GCUACACGGCGACGUGAUGCUAAUCCCUAAAGCCUCUCUCAGUUCGGAUUGGAGUCUGCAACCCGACUCCAUGAAGCUGGAUUCGCUAGUAAUCGCGCAUCAGCCACGGCGCGGUGAAUACGUUCCCGGGCCUUGUACACACCGCCCGUCAAGCCAUGAAAGCCGGGGGGUACCUGAAGUGCGUAACCGCAAGGAGCGCCCUAGGGUAAAACUGGUGAUUGGGGCUAAGUCGUAACAAGGUACC